rnacentral:piRNA from 1 species
UGAUUAUGUAGAUAUUCAAUCUCUUGCAAU